GGAGAGGUGCGAGAGCGGCCGAAUCGGGCUCCCUGCUAAGGAGUUGUGCCUUUACGGGCACCGUGGGUUCGAAUCCCACCCUCUCCG
rnacentral:tRNA from 1 species